GUUCUUACUUCAGCAGACAAACUCGGCCCAUUUACGCUUAAAAACAGUGUGUGAAGUUCGAAUCUUUGGAUGUAUUUAGAAGUUUCGACUAUCACGUGGAUCUGCAAACAAUGUUAAAAGGGUGGUUCAUCUUUAAGGAGAUUUUUAAACUCAUUUACCAAAUUAAUGGAUGCUUGUGGCCCAGGAUCAGGUAAGGUAGAUCUGAUGGCAAAAAGAGACUUUGUCCGGCCAAAACCAAAUGCCUUCUUGAUUGGAUAUUUAAACAUUAUACCCACGUUGUUUAAGACGUCUUGCUACCUAUUUCACAUCUUUGGAUUUUUUUAUAAUUGUUUUUUUAUGUUUCA